AAAAGGAGAAAAUUACACCUCCCCAAGACU
rnacentral:tRNA from 2 species